rnacentral:rRNA from 1 species
CCUACGGGAGGCAGCAGUGAGGAAUAUUGGUCAAUGGGCGAGAGCCUGCACCAGCCAAGUCGCGUGAAGGAUGAAGGCUCUAUGGUUUGUAAACUUCUUUUAUAUGGGAAUAAAGUGAGGAACGUGUUCCUUUUUGUAUGUACCAUAUGAAUAAGCAUCGGCUAACUCCGUGCCAGCAGCCGCGGUAAUACGGAGGAGGCGAGCGUUAUCCGGAUGUAGUGGGUUUAACGGGUGCGUAGGUGGUUAAUUAAGUCAGCGGUGAAAGUUUGUGGCUCAACCAUAAAAUUGCCGUUGAAACUGGUUGACUUGAGUAUAUUUGAGGUAGGCGGAAUGCGUGGUGUAGCGGUGAAAUGCAUAGAUAUCACGCAGAACUCCGAUUGCGAAGGCAGCUUACUAAACUAUAACUGACACUGAAGCACGAAAGCGUGGGGAGCAAACAGGAUUAGAUACCCGGGUAGUC